rnacentral:rRNA from 1 species
UACGAAGGGGGCUAGCGUUGCUCGGAAUCACUGGGCGUAAAGCGCACGUAGGCGGCUUUUUAAGUCAGGGGUGAAAUCCUGGAGCUCAACUCCAGAAUUGCCUUCGAUACUGUUUGGCUUGAGACCGGAAGAGGUUAGUGGAACUGCGAGUGUAGAGGUGAAAUUCGUAGAUAUUCGCAAGAACACCAGUGGCGAAGGCGGCUGACUGGUCCGGUUCUGACGCUGAGGCGCGAAAGCGUGGGGAGCAAACAGG